AUGAAAUGAUAUUAGCUGGGCAAGGUAAUGUGUUAGCACCACUUGUUGCUGCAAUUUUGGGCAUUUGCCAGUUUUUUAAAGAAUCUUCCAAGUUUUUGUUUCAUCAGACUAUGGAGCAUGCAAAUGUGGAUGAUAUUGAAAAGGACAUUACUCUUCCACUUUCUCCUUGUAUUAGUUUUGCUGGAACUUGCAUAUUCAAGUGUAAUAGUUUUUACUUGGUUGUUGAUCGGCAAAUGCAAAUCCUCUUUUGGCAUUGGUUGUUCUUUUUGCUGCAUAUUAUGUGUUAAAUGUUGGCUAUCCAGUAGAGAUUGCUGCAACCCUUGAGUUUUUGCAGAGAUGUAUUGUAAAAAUAAACCCUGAAAAAGGAAACAAAAUCGAAAAGAAGAUUGGUAAAAAGCAGUAUGUCGGACCUCACCCUCCAGUAAAAAAAAUGUAGUGCAGAUACGCGGUAUUAUCCAAUGCUAG
rnacentral:lncRNA from 1 species